AGUUACGUAUACUCUCAAUCUAGGAAUUAUACUUAUAAACUCACUGGAAAAACCUUACCUGGAGUUAAAUAGGAAGUGGUUUACUGCUGAAUCCAUAAGAUAUAAGCCUAGCAAUCCUGGUAGCCAUCUCAUCACUAUUGGAGAAAAAAUCUAGCUUACAUCAAGGGAAGCGAGAAGGAAAACAGAGCCAAAAAUUAAAAGGAGAUAUUUCUAACAUCAUUUGAGCAUCUGGAUCAGCCACAUCAUACAUGAAUAAUUAAAUCGUGCAUUUUAUAUAAUUGCAGCUAGGUGAAAUUGAAGUUUUAUAUAUUUGAAAUUCCAAUCAAACAAUCGGAUCUGAAAUAAAUGUAAAUCCUGCAAUAAGUAAUUCUACCUCCACAAAAUUUGUAUGACAGGCUUGUCACUUCUAAUAACAGUUAUCUUUUACAGAAAUUAGACUUCGUACCAGGCUUUGACAUGUAACCUGUAAAAAUUUACAUGAAAUGUAGAUAUUUACUGCUGUGGGUUAUUUUUUUAAAUAAAAUUUUAUUUAUUGGAUAAGUUUACUUUCUAUUUCCUUAGACAGAAGAAAAAGUAGAGAGUGACUCUAGCUUGCUGGCUAGCAAACUAACUGGACAGGCAGAUAGAUAAAAUAUCAUUUAAUUCUCAACAAGCCAAUGAGUGCUCUCUUAGGACUAUUUUAUAAAUAAUCUCAUUCACAUUACUAUUAACUAUGCUUAAUGAUCUUGCCAGAGUUAAUUGAAAGAAUUUGUCUAAAUGUAAUGAAGGAAGUAAUUUACUUUAAAAACAAAAAGAGAAUUUAGUGUACUGUACAUUGCCAGGAGGUAUGAAGCUCAGUGUAGAUUUAAGCCUAUUUUUUCUGCUUUCUAAAGCAUUUAUUCCACAGUAAGUAGUCAAUGGCCCUAAUUUAUAGUAAAAUGGCUUGAAUUGAUUUUUAUAUUAAAAAUAAUUAAAUGAUCAAUCAAAGACAGUUUUACUUCUUUCUUUAAAAAUGGAGAUUUGUAAUUUUUCUUUGCUUCCUUCCUUUUUUCCUUCUUGUACUAUACAUGACAAUGUUGAACAGAAGAGGCCAUAAUGGACAUCUUUGCCUUGUUCCUUUUCUUGGAGAGGGAUGGGGCAAUGGUUAUUUUUUCACUAUUAAGAAUGCUGAUAGCUGUGUUUGUUUGGUUUGGUUUGGUUUGGUUUGGUUUGUAGAUGCCCAUAAUCAGGUUGAAGAAGUUCCCUUGUAUUACUAGUUUGUUGAGAGGUUUUAUUAUGAAUGAGUGCUGGGUAUUGUCAACAGUUUGUUAUGCUUCUCUUGAAGUAUCACGUGAUUUUUGUCCUUAUUCUGUUAGUAUGGCCUAUUUUAUUAAUUAAUUUUAUGUCAAACCAGUUUUACAUUCAGGUUGAAGACUUAAACCUAAGACCUUAUACUAUAAAACUACUAAAAGAAAACAUUGGAGAAACUCUCUAAGACAUUGGAAUGGGCAAGGAUUUCUUGAGCAAUAACCCACAAGCACAUGCAACCAAAGUGAAACUGAACAAAUGGCAUCACAUCGAGUUAAAAGGAUUCUGCUCAGCAAAGGAAACAAUCAACAAAGUAAAGAGACAACCCACACAAUGGGAGAAAAUAUUUUC
rnacentral:lncRNA from 10 species